AUGGAGUGCAACCUUCAUGCGGCGAGCCUCUGGGCUCCCAUGGAGGACGACCUGAUCGAGAGAAAGGAGGACAGGAAAGCCGUGGCAGCCCUCAUGCGCGCCACGCCACCGGAGAUGCACGGCAUGCUCGCGACGAAGGCAAGCGCCAAGGAGGCGUGGGAAGCCAUCCGUACCCAGCGCCUCGGCAGCAACCGCGUGCGCGAGGCAAAUGCGCAGAAGCUGCGGGCGGACUUCGAGAACAUCGCCUUCAAGGAGGGCGAGCUCGUCGACGAAUUCGCCAUGCGGAUCUCCAGCCUUGCGUCACAGCUCCGCGCACUCGGCGACACCAUGGACGACACGAGAGUCGUGCGGAAAUUUCUCCGCGUCGUGCCAUCUCGCUUCGCUCAGGUAGCGGUCUCCAUCGAGACCUUGCUUGAUCUGAGUGAGCUCUCCGUCGAGGAGCUCACGGGCCGGUUGCGGGUGGUCGAGGACCGUCUUGACGACGGCCGCGAGAGCUUCAGCGGCGGACAACUCCUAUUCUCAAAGAAGUGGGAGGCGAGGAAGCAUCAAGGACGUGGUGGCGGUGCCCAGAGCAGCAGAGGCGGCGGUCGCACCCAGGGUGGAGCCGGGCGAGGUGCCGGCAACGACGACCGGGACAAGUGCUGA
rnacentral:rRNA from 1 species